rnacentral:rRNA from 2 species
GAUGAGGAGCUUGCUCCUCUGAUUUAGCGGCGGACGGGUGAGUAACACGUGGGUAAUCUGCCUGUAAGACGGGGAUAACUCCGGGAAACCGGGGCUAAUACCGGAUAAUAAGAGAAGAAGCAUUUCUUCUUUUUGAAAGUCGGUUUCGGCUGACACUUACAGAUGAGCCCGCGGCGCAUUAGCUAGUUGGUGAGGUAACGGCUCACCAAGGCGACGAUGCGUAGCCGACCUGAGAGGGUGAUCGGCCACACUGGGACUGAGACACGGCCCAGACUCCUACGGGAGGCAGCAGUAGGGAAUCUUCGGCAAUGGGCGAAAGCCUGACCGAGCAACGCCGCGUGAGCGAUGAAGGCCUUCGGGUCGUAAAGCUCUGUUGUUAGAGAAGAACAAGUACGAGAGUAACUGCUCGUACCUUGACGGUACCUAACCAGAAAGCCACGGCUAACUACGUGCCAGCAGCCGCGGUAAUACGUAGGUGGCAAGCGUUAUCCGGAAUUAUUGGGCGUAAAGCGCGCGCAGGCGGUCUCUUAAGUCUGAUGUGAAAGCCCACGGCUCAACCGUGGAGGGUCAUUGGAAACUGGGAGACUUGAGUGCAGGAGAGAAAAGUGGAAUUCCACGUG